rnacentral:rRNA from 1 species
CCUACGGGUGGCAGCAGUGGGGAAUAUUGGACAAUGGGCGAAAGCCUGAUCCAGCCAUGCCGCGUGUGUGAAGAAGGCCUUCGGGUUGUAAAGCACUUUCAGUGGGGAAGAAAGCCUUGGGGCUAAUACCCUCGAGGAAGGACAUCACCCACAGAAGAAGCACCGGCUAACUCCGUGCCAGCAGCCGCGGUAAUACGGAGGGUGCGAGCGUUAAUCGGAAUUACUGGGCGUGAAGCGCGCGUAGGCGGUCUGAUAAGCCGGUUGUGAAAGCCCCGGGCUCAACCUGGGAACGGCAUCCGGAACUGUCAGGCUAGAGUGCAGGAGAGGAAGGUAGAAUUCCCGGUGUAGCGGUGAAAUGCGUAGAGAUCGGGAGGAAUACCAGUGGCGAAGGCGGUCUUCUGGACUGACACUGACGCUGAGGUGCGAAAGCGUGGGUAGCAAACAGGAUUAGAUACCCUGGUAGUC